rnacentral:rRNA from 1 species
CCUACGUGGUGCAGCAGUGAGGAAUAUUGGUCAAUGGACGCAAGUCUGAACCAGCCAUGCCGCGUGCAGGAAGACGGCUCUAUGAGUUGUAAACUGCUUUUGUACGAGGGUAAACGCAGAUACGCGUAUCUGUCUGAAAGUAUCGUACGAAUAAGGAUCGGCUAACUCCGUGCCCGCAGCCGCGGUAAUACGGAGGAUUCAAGCGUUAUUCGGAUUUAUUGGGGUUAAAGGGUGCGUAGGCGGGAGGAUAAGUUAGAGGUGAAAUCCAGAGGCUCAACUUCGGAAUUGCCUCUGAUACUGUUCGGCUAGAGAGUAGUUGCGGUAGGCGGAAUGUAUGGUGUAGCGGUGAAAUGCUUAGAGAUCAGACAGAACACCGAUUGCGAAGGCAGCGUACCAGGCUACUACUGACGUUGAGGGACGAAAGCGUGGGGAGCAAACAGGAUUAGAUACCCGAGUAGUC